rnacentral:rRNA from 1 species
GAUUGGUUACCUUGUUACGACUUCACCCCAGUCAUCAUUCCGACCGUAGACGCUCCCCUCCUUGCGGUUAGGGCCACGGCUUCAGGUAAGAACAACUCCCAUGGUGUGACGGGCGGUGUGUACAAGGCCCGGGAACGUAUUCACCGCGGCGGCUGGGACAAUCACUAGU